rnacentral:lncRNA from 1 species
GAAACUCCUUUGCACAUAGCAACAAUGCGUGGGCAUAUUGAGUUUGUGAAGUUAAUUCUGGCUCAAAAUCCUCAGCUUGCUGCUGAACUGGAUUCGCGACAGUCAUCAGCUCUUCACAUAGCUUCAGCUAAAGGACACCUACAAAUUAUCAAGAUGUUGUUAGUAGUGAAUCCUGAUAUAUGCUUAGCUCGUGAUCGCGAUGGUAGAAAUCCUCUCCAUCUAGCAGCCAUCAAAGGUCGAGUUAAAGUCAUCAAAGAACUAAUACAAAUCAGGCCUCGAGCAGCUCUAGGAACGACGAUCUAUGGGGAAAACGUUUUGCAUUUGUGUGUGAAGCAUAAUCAGCUGGAGGUUCUCAAGGUGCUGAUGGAGAUUGGAUCAUGGGACCAUGAAUUCUUGAAUGCAAAGGAUAGUGAUGCCUUCACCAUUCUGCAUUUGGCUGUUGCUGAUAAGCAAAUUGAGGUAUGCUAUUGUUCUUAGAAAAGAAAUUUACAUCGUUUUUUCUUAUAAUCGUAGUGUUCGGGCCAGCUUGUGUACACCACGAUUAAUUUUACGUGAUACCUGCUAAUUCUCACCUUAUGGUUCUCAACCUACUUCAUUGAUCGCUAGGUUGGCUGCGAAAUUAACUUCAUUUUCUUAUAGUUAUUAAACCACCUACCAUUCUUGCAGACUAUCAAAUACUUGCUAAAGACCAAUCAAAUAGAUGUGAAUGCAAUGGAUGCAAAUGGGAAUACAGCAUUAGAUAUUUUAGCACAGAGUAGGAGGGACAUGAUUGACCUACAAAUUGGAGACACUAUCAGAGAUGCUGGAGGCUUAAGAGCAAAGGAUAUCCAAAAUGAUAUCAAAAUUCCAAAUAAAUUAGCUGCAACUCCGCAUUCACUACCAGCCUCAACAACACCAGCAUAUUUAGGAGGAAAUC